GGCUCCAUAGUGUAGUGGUUAGCAUGUCUGCUUUACACACCGAAGAUCCUGGGUUCGCACCCCAGGUGGAGCCA
rnacentral:tRNA from 1 species